rnacentral:rRNA from 1 species
GAUGAACGCUGGCGGCGUGCCUAAUACAUGCAAGUCGAGCGAACGGACGAGAAGCUUGCUUCUCUGAUGUUAGCGGCGGACGGGUGAGUAACACGUGGAUAACCUACCUAUAAGACUGGGAUAACUUCGGGAAACCGGAGCUAAUACCGGAUAAUAUUUUGAACCGCAUGGUUCAAAAGUGAAAGACGGUCUUGCUGUCACUUAUAGAUGGAUCCGCGCUGCAUUAGCUAGUUGGUAAGGUAACGGCUUACCAAGGCAACGAUGCAUAGCCGACCUGAGAGGGGGAUCGGCCACACAGGAACUGAAAAACGGUCCAGACUCCUACGGGAGGCAGCAGUAGGGAAUCUUCCGCAAUGGGCGAAAGCCUGACGGAGCAACGCCGGGGGAGUGAAGAAGGUCUUCGGAUCGUAAAACUCUUUUAUUGGGGAAAAACAUAUGUGUAAGUAACUGUGCACAUUUUGACGGUACCUAAUCAGAAAGCCCCGGCCAACAACGG